rnacentral:ncRNA from 1 species
GGUUUCCUGUGUUCUGGUAAAAGCUGUAUUUUCAAGACUUCUUUAUAAAAUAAAAAUGUAAAGAAAAACCUAGCUGUAAGACAAUGUAGCUUUUGAGGCGCUGUAAUUGGAAUGAGUCCACUUUAAAUCCUUUAACGAGCAUCCAUUGGAGGGCAAGUCUGGUGCCAGCAGCCGCGGUAAUUCCAGCUCCAAUGGCGUAUAUUAAAGUUGCUGCAGUUAAAAAGCUUGUAGUUGAUCUUGGGAGCAGGUGUGCGGUCCGCUGCAAGGCGAGCCACCGCCCGUCCCCGCCCGUAAACUCUCGGCGCCCCCUCGAUGCUCUAGCCCUGGAUGUACUACUGAAAAACUAUUUAACAAAUCUCAAAUUAAUAGAUUUUAUGUUUAGGACUAUUUGACUUUCAGUGGUUUUUGCAAAAUAAAACAAUAAUCUAAGAUUAUAAAAUAAAACCUAUAUCAAAGACACAAAUACAAAACUGACAGAGGAAAGUCAGUCUAUCUAUCAAGCCCUCAUGUUCUGGAAAUGACCGCUUGAGCACAU